rnacentral:rRNA from 1 species
AACGAACGCUGGCGGCAGGCUUAACACAUGCAAGUCGAGCGAGACCUUCGGGUCUAGCGGCGGACGGGUGAGUAACGCGUGGGAACGUGCCCUUCUCUACGGAAUAGCCCCGGGAAACUGGGAGUAAUACCGUAUACGCCCUUUGGGGGAAAGAUUUAUCGGAGAAGGAUCGGCCCGCGUUGGAUUAGGUAGUUGGUGGGGUAAUGGCCCACCAAGCCGACGAUCCAUAGCUGGGUUGAGAGGAUGAUCAGCCACACUGGGACUGAGACACGGCCCAGACUCCUACGGGAGGCAGCAGUGGGGAAUCUUAGACAAUGGGGGCAACCCUGAUCUAGCCAUGCCGCGUGAGUGAUGAAGGCCUUAGGGUUGUAAAGCUCUUUCAGCUGGGAAGAUAAUGACGGUACCAGCAGAAGAAGCCCCGGCUAACUCCGUG